rnacentral:rRNA from 1 species
AUUGAACGCUGGCGGCAGGCCUAACACAUGCAAGUCGAACGAGUGGCGGACGGGUGAGUAAUGUCUGGGAAACUGCCCGAUGGAGGGGGAUAACGACUGGAAACGGUAGCUAAUACCGCAUACCAUCGGAUGUGCCCAGAUGGGAUUAGCUGGUAGGUGGGGUAAAGGCUCACCUAGGGGACGAUCCCUAGCUGGUCUGAGAGGAUGACCAGCCAUACUGGAACUGAGAUACGGUCCAGACUCCUACGGGAGGCAGCAGUGUUGAAUAUUGCACAAUGGGCGCAAGCCUGACGCAGCCAUGCCGCUUGUAUGAAGAAGGCCUUCGGGUUGUAAAGUACUUUCAGCGGGGAGGCGUUACCCUCAGAAGAAGCACCGGCUAACUCCGUGCCAGCAGCCGCGGUAAUUC